AAAAAAAGAGGAUAAUUUUUGGUGGAAACGCAACAAUUUUAUCGGCCGUUGUUAUGUGAGAGAUCAGUUGCAACUUACUGCUGCUACGCGUUACACCUGCCAACAUCGUUCCCUUUAAAUAAAUUUUCAAUUCAUUUCUUGCAACAUUGUGUGUCACACUAUUUACAUAUAUAGUCAUUUUCAUUAUUUGUCAGUUUCUUCAAUAUUCCAGUUAAUUUUUGUGCUUAGUUUAUAUAGCUAUUUUUCAUUUUUAGCCAUCUUGAAUUUUAUCAACAAUAAAAACCACGUGGUUACGUUGACUUGAUUUUAAAAAUGGUUGCCAAAAAAAAAAUGUGCCUUUUUUAAUAGAAGAAAUUUACACCAGUCAGGAGAAAGAUUUAUAUAUUUGAAAUUUUUCAUUAUUAUGAAAUUUUACUGACAUUUUUAUGAGUCAGUCUUAUUAUUACAAAAGUUACACUGGAUGUAUAAUUAUAAAUUUUGUGUGUUACGUGCGUGUUAUUUGGUUAUAACUUGCGAAUCUCAGUAAACAUGUUGCUUUGCGAGUUUCGUUGCAAGGAACGCAAUACCCCAUACUGUGGUUCGGUGCCUAUCAAUCACUUGGUGCAUGGUCCGGCAAUAAGACUCAGGAGGGGCUAUUAUCCUGCCAGACUCUUGUGAUGCACGACCUCCCGUCCUGAGAGGACCUUAAGCCCUUUAUAGACGACGAAGACGCCUCAGUAAAAUUUCCCAAGGACUUUUUUGAAUGUGUUGCUGCUGAGCUUUAAAAGAUGGCGCCACCAUAUAUACUUGAGACUAUCAACCGAUCUGGAUCACAAUCUACUAGAUGGCACACUAUAGGCAAUUCACG